CCUACGUGGGGCAGCAGUGAGGAAUAUUGGUCAAUGGGCGCGAGCCUGAACCAGCCAAGUAGCGUGAAGGAUGACUGCCCUACGGGUUGUAAACUUCUUUUAUAAAGGAAUAAAGUGAGGCACGUGUGCCUUUUUGUAUGUACUUUAUGAAUAAGGAUCGGCUAACUCCGUGCCAGCAGCCGCGGUAAUACGGAGGAUCCGAGCGUUAUCCGGAUUUAUUGGGUUUAAAGGGAGCGUAGAUGGGUUGUUAAGUCAGUUGUGAAAGUUUGCGGCUCAACCGUAAAAUUGCAAUUGAUACUGGCAGUCUUGAGUACAGUUGAGGUAGGCGGAAUUCGUGGUGUAGCGGUGAAAUGCUUAGAUAUCACGAAGAACUCCGAUUGCGAAGGCAACUUACUAAACUGCCACUGACAUUGAUGCUCGAAAGUGUGGGUAUCAAACAGGAUUAGAUACCCCUGUAGUC
rnacentral:rRNA from 1 species